rnacentral:SRP_RNA from 1 species
CCGCACUAGUCGGGGAGAUAGCGGUGCCCUGUACCCGCAAUCCGCUAUAGCGGGGAUGAAUCCCGGCCCCCGGACGUGUGGAGGUACUGUCUGCCCUGGAAAAGCAGUGAUGAUAGACCGGUCCCGCGCAACGGGGCUGCCGUGAACCGUGUCAGGCGGGGAACCGAGCAGCACUAAGCGGAUGGCCCCGUGUGCCGUGGGGUUGCUGGUCUUGAGCCGGCUGUCCAGGUAACGGGUAUGUCCCGCGCUUCAAAGGCCGGUGUGCGG